rnacentral:rRNA from 2 species
ACGGGUGAGUAACGCGUGGGAAUCUACCUAGUUCUACGGAACAACAGAGGGAAACUUCUGCUAAUACCGUAUACGCCCUAAGGGGGAAAGAUUUAUCGGAAUUAGAUGAGCCCGCGUAAGAUUAGCUAGUUGGUGGGGUAAUGGCCUACCAAGGCGACGAUCUUUAGCUGGUCUGAGAGGAUGAUCAGCCACACUGGGACUGAGACACGGCCCAGACUCCUACGGGAGGCAGCAGUGGGGAAUAUUGGACAAUGGGCGCAAGCCUGAUCCAGCCAUGCCGCGUGAGUGAUGAAGGCCUUAGGGUUGUAAAGCUCUUUCAGUGGGGAAGAUAAUGACGGUACCCACAGAAGAAGCCCCGGCUAACUUCGUGCCAGCAGCCGCGGUAAUACGAAGGGGGCUAGCGUUGUUCGGAUUUACUGGGCGUAAAGCGCACGUAGGCGGAUUGGUCAGUUAGGGGUGAAAUCCUGGAGCUCAACUCCAGAACUGCCUUUAAUACUGCCAGUCUCGAGUCCGGAAGAGGUAAGUGGAACUCCUAGUGUAGAGGUGGAAUUCGUAGA